rnacentral:rRNA from 1 species
GGCGGCGUGCUUAACACAUGCAAGUCGAGCGGAAAGGCCCUUCGGGGGUACUCGAGCGGCGAACGGGUGAGUAACACGUGAGUAACCUGCCCCUGACUCUGGGAUAAGCCCGGGAAACUGGGUCUAAUACCGGAUACGACCGCCCCCGGCAUCGGGUGGUGGUGGAAAGUUUUUUCGGUUGGGGAUGGACUCGCGGCCUAUCAGCUUGUUGGUGGGGUAGUGGCCUACCAAGGCGACGACGGGUAGCCGGCCUGAGAGGGCGACCGGCCACACUGGGACUGAGACACGGCCCAGACUCCUACGGGAGGCAGCAGUGGGGAAUAUUGCGCAAUGGGCGGAAGCCUGAGCCAGCGACGCCGCGUGGGGGAUGACGGCCUUCGGGUUGUAAACCUCUUUCAGCAGGGACGAAGUUGACGUGUACCUGCAGAAGAAGCGCCGGCUAACUACGUGCCAGCAGCCGCGGUAAUACGUAGGGCGCAAGCGUUGUCCGGAAUUAUUGGGCGUAAAGAGCUCGUAGGUGGCUGGUCGCGUCUGCCGUGAAAGCCCGCAGCUUAACUGCGGGUCUGCGGUGGAUACGGGCCGGCUAGAGGUAGGUAGGGGCAAGUGGAAUUCCUGGUGUAGCGGUGAAAUGCGCAGAUAUCAGGAGGAACACCGGUGGCGAAGGCGGCUUGCUGGGCCUUACCUGACGCUGAGGAGCGAAAGCGUGGGGAGCGAACAGGAUUAGAUACCCUGGUAGUCCACGCUGUAAACGUUGGGCGCUAGGUGUGGGGGUCUUCCACGAUCUCGUGCCGGAGCUAACGCAUUAAGCGCCCCGCCUGGGGAGUACGGCCGC